rnacentral:rRNA from 1 species
CGUUAGCGGCGGACGGGUGAGUAACACGUGGGUAACCUACCUAUAAGACUGGGACAACUUCGGGAAACCGGAGCUAAUACCGGAUAAGAUAUCGAACCGCAUGGUUCGAUAGUGAAAGAUGGUUUUGCUAUCACUUAUAGAUGGACCCGCGCCGUAUUAGCUAGUUGGUGAGGUAACGGCUCACCAAGGCAACGAUACGUAGCCGACCUGAGAGGGUGAUCGGCCACACUGGAACUGAGACACGGUCCAGACUCCUACGGGAGGCAGCAGGG